rnacentral:rRNA from 1 species
AUGCACGCUGGCGGCGUGCCUAACACCUGCAAGUCGAACGGAGUCCAGCCUUUAAGACCUUCGGGUCAAAGAGGGGAAGACUGAGUGGCGGACGGGUGAGUAACACGUGGGCAACCUGGCUCAUAGAGGGGGAUAACAGAGAGAAAUUUCUGCUAAUACCGCAUAAGCACACACUGCCGCAUGGCAGAGGGUGAAAAGAGAAUCGCUAUGAGAUGGACCCGCGUCUGAUUAGCCAGUUGGCAGGGUAAGAGCCUACCAAAGCGACGAUCAGUAGCCGAUCUGAGAGGAUGAACGGCCACAUUGGGACUGAGACACGGCCCAAACUCCUACGGGAGGCAGCAGUGGGGGAUAUUGCACAAUGGGGGGAACCCUGAUGCAGCGACGCCGCGUGAGUGAAGAAGUAUUUCGGUAUGUAAAGCUCUAUCAGCAGGGAAGAUAAUGACAGUACCUGAAUAAGAAGCCCCGGCUAACUACGUG